rnacentral:tRNA from 1 species
GUGGAAGUAGCUCAGUUUGGUUAGAGCAUCGGAUUGUGGCUCCGAAGGUCGAGGGUUCGAGUCUCUUCUUCCACC